rnacentral:tRNA from 1 species
UGGCUCAGAUGGUAAAGCAUCUGCCUGCAAUGCAGGAGACCCAGGUUCAAUUCCUGG